CUGCCUAUCAGGUCCUGCUGGCCGGGGGUGGGGGUUGGGAGUAGCCUGCGGAGAGAUGGCGGUCCCCGAGGAAGGUGUGACCGCGGAUGGAGGAGGCAGGAGGCUGCAGGCCAAUAGAGAGACCUGGGGACUCAAGAACCACCUCUUCCAGCCCAGCCCAGCCUAAGAAAAGAUACAUCAAUAUCCUCAAUAUCAGGGACACUGACCGGGUGAAGGACGGAGCCCUCUGCUUCGUUAUUUCUGCUUGACGGACUGAGGAGUUCUUCCUACACACUGGUAAGCAGAGGCCAAGGACUCUGGACACAGCAACAAUCUAGAAGCUGUUGGACAGUGAACAACUUCUGGUUACCUUGUUCACCUGCAGGGAGAAGUACCUACAGACAGGCUUUCCAGACCCACAGCAAGCCUAACCACCGUGGAACACAGGUAGUUAGAGGGGACAGUGUACACUGGGCACAGAAGGCCACAUCCGUGGUGGGUUGUGCCUGAAGCCCUUCGGAUUUCUUGGACCAUCAGGGCUAGAUCUAAUUGAGAGGGGGGUGCUUUGAUGAUCUGAACUUUACAGGAGAGGAUGCUAGGGGGACCAAUUAGAGGGACCAAAGCCACACAUCGAGGAAGUAAUAGAACUAGAUCCAGAACUCAGCUUUGCCCGAUGCCAAAGCCCAGCUAUGAAGCACUCGUGCACAGUAUGAAGGAGGGGUGGAGGACAGAGAGAGGACAGUUUCUCACGUGUCGUCCAUCUUGUUUUUGAAACGGAGACUCACCACUGGCCUGACAUUGACCUGGGGCUGGCCAGCAAGCCCCAGAGAUCCACCUGUCUCUGCCUCCCCAGGCCUAUGAUUAUAAGUGCAUGUCGCCAUAUUGUUCUCUUUGAUUACCUGGAGAUUGAACUCAGGUCCUCCUGCUUGCAAGGCAGGCCCACUACUGACAUCUCUAGCCUGAGGCACUCCUAACGUUAUCGAGUACAGAAAUCCCAUUUCACCGUGGGGCCUCCGUGAUUGGAAUUUCUUCCUCCACAUGGGGCCUUCCCGUGGGUGGGGCUCUUCUGGUAGACUCCCCGGGAGAAUCUACCUCUCUUGUUGUAGAGACUGUCCUGCUUGCUCCUUUAACUUUGCCCUCUGCCUGGUAUCAGGGCCAGUGUGUCACCUCCAAAGGAAAUGUUUAUUCAGAAAUGCUAUCAGCUAAAUGCAGUGCAGUCUGAACACAGUGACUUCAAUGGGACUUAUUUGUCUGUGUAUGAACCGAUGACAAGAAUACUCCCACGGUAUGGUUAAGGGGAAGGUUUUUGUUGUAGAUGUGAAGGAGAGAGCAGCCAGAGGCAUCUGGAAGGGUCCAAGGCAGAGAAAUUAGUAGAAUGAAUAUGGACCAGCAGCCCAGACCUGGUCAUGACAGAAGCAGAGGCAGAGGAGAGAGACAGAGAAACCUAGAGAGGGGGAGGGGCAGGAGAGGGAAUGGCAGGAGGGGGAGGUGAGGGAAGGAGGGAGGGGGAAGACAAAGGGAGUGAGAUGGGGGGUGUCAAAAAGAGGGAGUGUAGCUGAAACUACAGGGAACCGGCUUUUGUCUGACCACCAGGAUUUGGGGAAAUGGAGUUCCUUUUGGACUCAACAGUCUGUUGUAAGAGACUGGCUGGUAGUUAGAGUCCUGACCUGAUGCCCUCAGGGUCCCUUGUGUGGCUACCAUGACUAGAGCUAGCUCAUGCUCACAAGAUGGCUGCUCCUCCUCCAGCCUCUUCUUUUUACUUCAGGAAAGAAGUAGAAGACAGGAAACAGGAAAGGGCCAAGGUCACAGCAGAGAAGCAACUUCUCGCACACGGACUUUGCCUUAAGUCUUGUUGGCUGGACCACAGAGUAACCCCCUACAAAGGACAUUAGGAAAUAAGCUUCAAGCAAAUGCUACCAUCUGCAGUAAAAUUGAAGUUCUGUCAGGGAAAAGAAGAGAAGGAUGUCAUAUCGAAGAGCAUCACCAGGAUCUCUCCGCUGGACUUUCCAUCCCUUGGUUUCAGGAAAUAGUUUCUGGUGCUAAAAAACACAAAAGCCCAGUUCUAGAGCAUAGUGGCAGGCCCUGGCUGCUAAGCCAUCCUGUCUCUGUGGGGAGAGCAGAGAGAAGGCUUCAGCCAUGUUACAGAGUGACUGUGUACAGGAGCUGUGAACACGCAGGGGAGAGGCCCAAUACACACAGGACAGCAGGGAAUCCUAUUAACUAUCAAGUGACACCCCAAGAAUAAGGAUGAUGAAGCAUUCUGACUGGAGUACAAAACCAGGGACAGCAGGGAUACAUGAGGCUGGGGAGAGACUGGAAAACCAAGUGUCGUACAAAGAAUGGAGGCCUUAUCCCCAGAGCACAGGGACAGCCACUGAAGACUUCUGAGUAGCAGGGGCUCUGAGCUGAUCUGCAUUCCCCAUAAGCCCAUCUGGCAACCAGAUGAGAGAGGAAAGGGGCGAGAUCCAGAAAGAGUUCCAGGAGCAGAGAUAUGAACUUGGACUGUGCAAGAGGUAGGGAGAAAAAAUUCAGGAGACGGCACUCAUGUGCCUGUGGUACACACGUCAGUGAGGAGUCCCACCACUCCUCUCACACACACAGUGCUUGCCACAUUCAUCCCCAGCAGAGAGGACCCAGAAGGACUAGCAGCCAUGGGGAAAGCCAGUGGUGUCCUAAGGAUUCACUUUGAGUUCACCCAGUUUGAACUACAUACAGGUAAAGAUGGGCAGCCGGAGUCUAAGUAUUUAUCCUUAUGCCCACAGAUGAUUGUAGCUCCCGUCUCUCACCAGAUAACUCUUCUGUGCAACAGAUGGACACCAUUCCAGAAAACCACCACUGGUCAAAGCACAGAGGGCAAGCGAUCGUGGCUGUUAAGUCCCAGGUGACACAUGUGCAUCCCAACUGUGUCACUGAAGACUCCUGGAACAUUCUGGAAGAUGUGGCGGAGGGCUUCAUUCUAAGAGCCAAAGGACCAGGAAGUCAGCUGUGAGACUGUCUCCUAGAAACAAAAGGGAAGCAUCUCUCUUGAUACUCAACAUUAUCAGUGUCUAAACAAGACCUGCUUGAGGAUGACAGCAGCAGCAGAUGUCCUAACAGAGAAAGAGGAAAUCUCACAGGCCCCACCCAUAGGCAAAGAACUACAGGCAGCUAAGGAAUUCGGAGAAAAAAGUCUUCCCCAAGGAGGAGCCUUACACUUGGCUACCCAAUGCCAAGUGGUCAGCCUUGAAAUCAUAUACAUACGAGUAACAUCAAAUGGACUGAACCGGUUGGGUUUACAUUUAUCUAUUUACAUUGUAUGUGUGUGUGUGUGUGUGUGUGUGUGUGUGUGUGUGUGUGUGUGUGCCAUGAGUUUGAGAGGGACCAGAGGAAGCGUUAGAGGGAAUAGAAGAACAGGAGAACAUGAUAUUAUAUUUCUUUUAAAUUAAAAUAAAUACUUUUGAAAGUGGGCAGCUGGUAGGUGGCUAUGCUGACUCAUUGCCCAGGAUAGACACAGAAGUCAAGAAAAGGGUGGGUGGAGGUACGCCAGCCCUCCGGGAAGGAGGAUGUCUCCCAGUGAGAGUGUGAGGAGAAGGACAUCCAGAAACGAAUGCAGCAACAUCUGCCCAAGAAAUAGAACCAGAGCGGAGGAAGGUAGGCCAGGGGAGAGAGUUGCCGGUAGAGACCAGAGGUCAUGUUCAAAGAGGAAGACUGAAGACCGACCAUGCUGUGAACAAGGUAUGACCUAAGGGGCAGCUACUGAGCUGACCAGGUCCUGCACUGAGGACCCAAGCAAGGGUGUCUCCAGCGGAUGAUAUGGUUGAAGGCCAGAUUCUGUGGGUGCAGGAGAACCCAGGAUAGAGAAAGUGUAAACGCACGGUGUUCCUGAUUUUUUUUUACUCACCGGUCACAAUUGGGUCAAAUUGUGUGAUGACUAAAGGCAAAAGUCUUUCUUGUAUAUGUUUUACUAUCUUAACUACUUUUUAUUUGUUCUCUCACAGUGACACACACACACACACACACUUACUUUGGCCACAUCUCCCCACCUCCCAGUAUCCUCUCUUCCCUCUCCUCUCUCACUAAACCCUUUCAUGCUCCCAGCAACCCCCUCCUACUUUCAUAUUUUUCUCUCUGCUGUUGCUAAUUUGUUUUUGUUUUGUUUCCUUGUGACCCACUGAAUUUAAUUAGGGCUACCCGCACGAGCAUGGGUGGGGAGUUAUUUACUCGAGCAAGAACAACCUUCCAGUAGCUAGCCCACUGAGGACUGUGACUCUCUCUGCCUCAGCAACCAUUAAUUGCCUGUGGUUCCUCAGGGAGGGGUGGGACCUUGUGAGCCCCUCCCUUGUCCAUGAUGGAAUGUUGUGAGUUCAUGAUGCAAAAGCCAUGUCCUGUCCAGAAGACAGCAUUUAUGGUACUCCUUCUCGCCCUUGGGCUGUCCUGUCUAGUGCUUUGUGCUCAAUGGUCACUUAGCCAUCUGAGUCUCUCCACUCACUGAGGAUGCUUCUCUAACCAAGGCCAAGUACUGAUGUAUGGUAAAAACAGUAUUUAAAAGGCACUUUGACACCAUGUCCAUCUAGCAAAACAAAAGUAACAGGUUCUCCCUCUAAGGCCUAUGAUCUCCUUAGCCGUGGGUUUUUGACCAGGUUUACAGUACCUGGUCUGGAUUCCUCCUGCGAAGCAGGUCUACAAGCCAAUAAGAAAGUGGUUGGUUGGGGUUGGGGAUUUAGCUCAGUGGUAGAGCGCUUGCCUAGCAAACGCAAGGCCCUGGGUUCGGUCCUCAGCUCCGAAAAAAAGAAAGUGGUUGGUUGGCCACGACAGUCACACCACUACUGCUUGGUGGUGUAACUCUCGGGGUUCGCACUAGAAUAGGACCAUUGAUGGCAUUCCUUCUCCAGUGCCUGUACGGCACUUAGAGCCUUUGAGCACUCAGAGACCAGCCGGCAGUAAGACGCUCCUAGUUCAGGUUCAGAUUGAUGUCGCUAUAUCCUGCAACUGAAGUGUAAGACACCUUCAGCAAUAUGGUCUUUAUCAACUAGUUCUAGUGGGCCAUUCAGAGCAAUGGCUGUGGCCUGAAUUGUUUUGAGAGCCCUUCGGUCCUUCCCGGCCAACAAUUCAUGAGGCGAUACCCUACCCAAUUUUAUAUCUUUAUUUAACACAUACUUCUAACGAUGGGAAUUCAUUUAAUACUCUAAAUAAUCCAAUGAAAGAAUCCUAGAGAGAUGGUUCAGUGAUUAAGCGUGAGUACAGCUUUUGCAGAGGACUAGAGUUCAGUUCCCAGCACCCAUGUCAGAUGACUCACAGCUGCCUGUAACUACAGUGGGGGGGGGUCUAGUACCCUCUUCUGGCUGCCUCGAGCAACUGCACGUACACGCACAUACCCUCACACAGACACACGUACAUACACAUAAUGAACAACAAAUCUUUUUUUAAAAAGAAAGAAAGAAGGAAAGAAAGAAAGAAAGAAAGAAAGAAAGAAAGAAAGAAAGAAAGAAAGAAAGAAAGGAAGAAAGAAAGAAAGAAAAACUAAGGCACAGAGAAGUACAAUAACUUGGUCAGUCACACAGCUACUAAGUGGCAGAGCCCAGACAGAAAGUUAUAGAGUCUAAGCACAUGGGGACUCUUGCACAGAGUCUGAGAGCCACAACUGUAAGGCUAGCCAAGCCCAGAGCCCAUGGAGGAAUGCCUCAUCCAUCUCUGCCCCUUAGAAAUCAUUCCCUUCUCCUAAAAAAGAAGGCUGGUAGGUUCUCCUUAAGGAGAACUUAAGGAACCAAUCUGGUCCAUUCUCCUUAAACAAAAGCCCAAGAAAAGCUGUAGCCACUGGUGGGUCCUGUAGGUCCAACUACAAGACCACUGUUUUGCUCUUCCCUGUCCUGGGAUUCUGGCCCUCCAGCAUGGGUGUCCUUGGGGCCCUUCUACCUGCCAUUGUCUCUCCCUCUCAGCUCUCAGACACGCUCUAGCCUCCCCUCCCCUAAGAAAAUGCAGUGUAACAAGUGAGGUGUAUUACAGCACCAGAGUUUCAUUCUCCCUGCUGCUCUCCAUUUUGUCCGGGAUGUACCAGGCCUGGCAUGCAUGCCCAGGAUAGUGACCACUCAUGAUGACUUUUUCAGGAUGUGCUAGGACUUUUUCUGUUGUGUUAGCUUCUGGUCUUAGCCAGUGCAAAGAAAGGAGAAACUCCUACAGGCCUCUCCCACACCUCCCAUGCCCACUCUUUCGAUAGUGCUUCCUUGGAGAAGGGGGUCCAGCCUGCCCUAUCUACACUCCACCCAUUCAUGAUCAGGUCAUAGCCCCAGCCCAUGCUAUGGCGGGUUCAUUGUCACUCCUGUAAGUAGAGGGGUCAACUCUGCAGGCACACAUUCAGCAAGCAUUUGGUGCUCUCUCAGUCCUCCACAGAGGGACCUGAAGAGCCACGGGUCUUGCUGUCUCAAGGCUGCUGAGUGGAUAGAGAGCCACAGUUGGUCUCUGCCAUGGUUCUUGUCUCUAACAUGCUUGCUGAUCUGUACCCAAUAGUCUUCAAAAAACAGUCUACAGUGUUCUAACUCAGCCACGAAGGUUGUAUUUUUGUUGAAUUCCCAUCACUCCGCAGAUUAGAUUGGGCUGAAUUUUGUGCUUUUCCUAAUUCUUUCCCAAUAUGAUUGUUACCUAAAGCCAGUAACAAGAGUUUGCAGUGUAUCAAUCAUCUUUACUAUGUGCAGUGUUACACAUGAUAGGGGCUUUUCUUCCCGAUCUCAUGAAUGACUGUGCCGGCAACCAUGAGUUAUUCAACCAUCUGCUGGGUUUGAAUGGCGGAAAUUUCUGUAAUGUGCUCAUGUAUAAAUAAUAUUUUUUCCCCAAGCCCUUUGCCUUAAGACUGAGGACCAGCAGUGACUUGCUAAGUUCAGUCAGCACGAACUCAGCUGGGGAUCUUUCUCUCUAUUUAAGGUCACCUCCCCUGCUGUAUUUCCAUCACGUAGGUCCCUUCUUCCUAGGGUGACAUCUUUCUGGCCUCCAUAGUGCAAGGGUAGCAUUCCAGGGUGGGGUGGGGUGGGGUGGGAUGGGGUGUGUGACCUGACCACACCAGCUGUGGAAGACCUCCCAGUGAAUCCUCUCAGGUCCUCCUUGUCCCUAACCUUCCACCGGAAGCUCUGCAGCUCAGAAGCUGACCGAGAGUGCCACAAGUGAAGCUGCUUUGAAGACGGACUCUCCCUCCCCUCAGCCCCCCGGACCUCACAUGGUUGGAUUAUUCACCUGCACACGCAAAGUGCUGGGCUUUGUGAUCCAAAGCAGGGCUACCUUCUUGACUCCGUCCUGUGUGUCUCCAGGCAAGUCACUUAACUUCCUCCUGCAGCUGGACUCACAGAUCACCAUUGCUGGAGCUGUGGCUUUCUUCUAGGCAGGUGCUGUCCUCUUGUUCCCUCCCUGGAUGUAGUGAACUUGUUUUGUUUGUUGAUUUUUUGCCUUGCCUGGGCCCAAGUCCUCUCCACAGCUGGCUUAGCUUCCUCCCAGACCCAUGAAGGAUAUAGUUCCAGGCCCAGGAGCUCUCCAGAGCUGGCAUAAUCUCCCUCCAAGUUUAUGUGGAGAGCUUGGGGGGUCUCUGCACCAACCUCAAAUUCCAUCCUUCCUCCAGGGAUCCUAGGGUGAGUCUUACUUGCAGUAUGUACACAGACAUGCGCAGGGUGUACACACACACACACACACACACACACACACACACACACACACGAGAGAAAGAGAGAGACAGACAGACAGACAGACAAGACAGACAGAGAAAGGAGAGAGCACUCUGUGACAACAGGCUUCCUCAGUUCUCUCAGAAUGCCUGCCUUCCCCUCCUGCUCUGUGUCUUUGUACUUUCCCACCACAAAGUCAAGCCUAGAAGUCCUCAUGAGGAGGCCUGAGGAUCCUUGCCUACUUCCUAGAUUUCCCACAAACACCUAGAUCAGCACCUGACCUCUCUGUACCAGGUGUCCUGCCUGUGCCAUGUACCCUGUACCCUGUACCCUGUACCCUGGCUCUGGGUCUAGGUGGGCCCCUCUCUCCUCAGAAUUCUGUUCCUCAGUCUUUCCUCAGCGUCCACAGUCUCUUUCCCCUCUAUCUGUGGUGUCCUCCAUUCCUGGAAGGGCCUUGAUCUCCCUGUCCCACCUUCCCCUCCUUCAGGAUCCUUGCCCCGGUCCUAGCCCCUUAGUGGUGAGCCCUGAUUUUCUCGCCUCUGAAGGGAUGGGUACCCUGUUUUGGUACUCUACACCCUCACUACCGACUGUGCUUGGGUUGACUCCCUGCCAGGUGGCUUGUGAGAUUUAGGAUAGGGAACAAGUACGCACAAGAACAGACAUCAGGACACCAUUGCAGAACACCCAGCUGGAUGGAUCCAAUAAGCACCUGCUUCUCCUGGCCUCUCAAGCACAUACUUCCUGCACAUCUUUGUUCCCUGCUGAACACAGAUAAAGCCUGGGUGUUGGGACGGAACAGGGGUUUCCAGCCCCAUCUCAGAGCUCCAACCUCUUCCUGUUUCAGGACACUUCACCUGGGCUUAGGACUUGUAAUACACCUUUGACCAUAUCUGUGAAGGUGGGGUGAGUCACCUGAUGAGGUCACUGAAGGCCAGCCUCCUCCCAGUUCAUGGUCACAGGGACAGAGGGUGUGGUUCUCUGCAUUGGGCAUUUGAGAGAAAAUGCUUGCUGUAUUAGCACAGAGCUGGCAGAGGAUGAGAGUGGCCAGGGAAGAUUCUGAACAUCUCACAAUGUGAGUGUCGAACCCACAGGGGAUGCUGGGCUCCUAGCUCUGAGAACUUCCUUCUGACCACAGUGGAAUUGGUACUCUAUGAAGGAUAUAGUUGCUGUUUGCCCCAGCCCAAGUCUGCCUCUCUCUUGAUGAGAGCACUGCCUGACCCUUCUUGGGACCACCACCCUCAAACACUCACAGGUUAGGAAGGAUAAGUGCGUAGACACCCACCGAGGCAGGAGGAUGUAGGCCAGUCCUAGGUACCCAGGCCUCUGCUGAAGCAGACAGGCCAAUAUGUUUCUCUUGGGGAGUAGGGCUACUAUCCUCAGCGUGAAGGUCUGGGGAGUACUGGAAAGAAAGUUCUCUAGGAAGGAGUGAAGAGAAAGCUAGGCAGGUGGAACCACGAUGACUGAGGCCAGUGGCCGUAUCCUCCAGGCUCUGUGUCCCUCUUGGUCACUCCAUCUGGACUUUGCAAUUCUGAGAGCUAAUAAAUUCUCUUUAUGAUUUAA